rnacentral:lncRNA from 1 species
AGAGAGAGAGAGAGAGAGCGAUCAACAACUAUGGAGCCUGUAGGACACCCAAGUUCAAGUUUUUGACAUGCGUAGAGAAAGAAGGAUGAUUACUUGACAGUCGAUGGAGAGAGAGAGAGAGAGAGAGAGAGAACUAUUUAGGGAGAUUGUAGGACACCUAAUUCAAAUUUAAGCCAGUACACAUAGCGUCAGGAAUAGAUAGAGAGAGGAGAGUUGAUAGCUCCGUUCUCUAUAUGCUUCUAAAGAGAGAAGGAGAGGAAGCUUGAGAGGAUAAG